AAUUGUGUUGUUAGUCUCGUUAAAUCAACAUGCUUUCGGACUAUCUUGUGUUUUUUCUUCAGGACAUGUGAUUUGUUGCUGUAAGAUUGGUUUCCCAUCAUUCUGUCUUUCAUUGUUUGAACAAAAGGACACACUCCAAACUCCAAAAAAUUAAGGAUCUGUCUCUCUCCGUCUCGCUCUUCCUCCCUCAAGCUGUACUGGGAAGUUAAUUUGGUGAUGAUGGCAAUGGAGGUCUUUGGAGGCUAAUAGCUUUUCCAGCAGGUGCAGUUUAUUCUUGGUGAAUCCCUCGAGUAUGCAGACUACUAACAUAUAUGAAGAUGCCAUCGUGUCCCUCAGGAAUGCAUAUCUGGAAAUAUUCAAUCCACAG